rnacentral:rRNA from 1 species
UAAGGAAUAUUGGUCAAUGGACGCAAGUCUGAACCAGCCAUGCCGCGUGAAGGAUGAAGGUCCUCUGGAUUGUAAACUUCUUUUAUCUGGGACGAAAACGGGAUUUUUAUCUCAAUUGACGGUACCAGAGGAAUAAGCACCGGCUAACUCCGUGCCAGCAGCCGCGGUAAUACGGAGGGUGCAAGCGUUAUCCGGAUUUACUGGGUUUAAAGGGUGCGUAGGCGGGCAUGUAAGUCAGUGGUGAAAUACCGGAGCUUAACUUCGGAACUGCCAUUGAUACUAUAUGUCUUGAAUAUUGUGGAGGUAAGCGGAAUAUGUCAUGUAGCGGUUAAAUGCAUAGAUAUGACAUAGAACACCGAUUGCGAAGGCAGCUUGCUACGCAAAUAUUGACGCUGAGGCACGAAAGCGUGGGGAUCAAACA